CGUGUAGGCGGGGAUGCAAAUCUGAUGUGAAAGCCCCGGGCUUAACCUGGGAAGUGCAUUGGAAACUGCAUUUCUUGAGUACUGGAGAGGAAGGGGGAAUUCCCGGUGUAGAGGUGAAAUUCGUAGAGAUCGGGAGGAAUACCAGUGGCGUAGGCGCCUUUCUGGACGGUUACUGACGCUGAGACGCGAAAGCGUGGGGAGCAAACAGGAUUAGAUACCCUGGUAGUCCACGCUGUAAACGAUGAGCACUAGGUGUAGCGGGUACUCAUUCCUGCUGUGCCGCAGCUAACGCGUUAAGUGCUCCGCCUGGGGAUUACGGUCGCAAGACUAAA
rnacentral:rRNA from 1 species